GAGCAAAUAGUAUUUUUAUAGAUAUUACUGUUGGGUUUAAAUUGGGUUUCAAUUACUAUAUUAUUCCCAAUUUUAGGUGAAAUUACUAUAAUGCCCCUAACCCUAAUUGUGCCACACCUAUCCCCAAAAACCUUUCUCCUUCACGCUACACAGUUACCAGCCCUCCUUCAUCCUCCUUCUGCGCAGCACACACCCUGGGUAAUGGAAGGAAAGCUUGUCACCGCUGCCACCCACAUCCCCUCUCAUACCCCCACUCUCAGUUUUCAUUAGUCAGCCCACACACUGAACAAACACACACACGGUGGAGAAGAGAUCGGGCAGAGAGAGGAAGGGCGUCGCGCCUGUCACGAGUUCGCCGCCACCACCGCGCCGUUGCGCCGUCGCCAGAAAGUGCAGAAUCGAUUUGAGGGUUGGCUCGCGAGUGAGGGUGGUUGCGAGCUUGGAGCCGCCCGCCAUCGUCGGCACUGCAUCCACGCUGGUUGUCGCUGCUGUGAUGCACCCGAGAGGAGAGAAGUCACGCUGGAAAGCUGGCCGCCAGGGGCGCUGUUGCUACGAACCGGCCGCCGCCGUGCAUCCUCGUUGCCGCCACUGACCGGCCAAGUCGCCUCGGCAUGGUCACUGCCGUGAGUUUUGCUGCUUGUGAGGAAGGGACGCUGCCUUGCGACAUCACCGGUGUGCCUGGGCACUGUUGCUGUGAGUGUGCCAUCACCGGAGCUUAGUGGUUGAUGUCAUGGGAGCCGUGAAAGAAGGAGGAAGAAGCCGUGCCGUUGUUCUGGCCGUCGGAGCUUCUAUGGCCGUCAGAAGCUACCGCUGCCCAACCAGCUGCAACCGGGGUUGUCUCCUGUCAUGUAUGGCUGCCGAAGAAGUUGUUGUGGCCGCCGGAACCACCACCGGAGCUACUGGUUACUUCUGCCGUCGCCGAAAAGUUUGCCGGUGGCUGCCAGGCUGCAGCUGAGCCGGUUCGAAGUCCGCCGCGGUGUCGGUUCAGCCGUUCCUCCUUUGGUUCGUGUUGCUAUGGUUAUUGCGAAAGUGGCUGGAAGCUGAGGUUUUGGUUGCCGGUGAUUUCAAGUUGAGGCGGAAAGGACUCUGUGAGACGUUAGAUUAUGGAAUUUGUGCUUUGAGGUAGGGGCGCUUUCCAAAACUAUACUUUAUGUAUUGGAAUUAUUACAUAUGGAUACUGAUGUGAGAAAAUGUGUAUUUGGUGAUUGUAUCGGCCUUAUGUAUUAUUUGAUUGUCUCGAAAGCUUAUGAAUGUUUGUUUGGCUGAAUUGUUGUGCGGCUUUGUGAAAUGUAAUGUUUUGAAGUUAAUUCUUUAAAGAUUUGAAACAUGAGUUUAAUCUGUUGAGGAUUGGUUUGAAUUGAGUCAAUUAUUUUGAUUAUGCGAAAGAUAGAAUACUCUAGAAAUUCAGCCUGGGUUGCUUUAAUUGAUUUGGUUUUGAUAAAUGAUUUAUUUCUAAACUGAUUCUUUUAAACUUUGGAAAUGAGUUAAAUCGGUUGAUAUUGAGUUGAUUUUGAAAUGGUUUCCUUGAGAUAUGCCACUGAGGCGACUGUUGGAAUUAGCUUGCUUUUGAAUUGAUUUCUAGUUUUGAGCUGUUGAAAAGGAAUGAGAAACGGUUUAGUUGGGACCCGAACCGGGUGGCAAAAGUCCAAGUUUUAGGGGAGGUGCUGCCGAAAUUUCUAUAAAAUCCGAGUCUUUAUUGAAUGUUGUCUAGAAAAAUGAUGAGUUAAAGACUUCUACUAUUUUAUUUGAAUUAUCAAGAAAAGGAUGAUUCAUGCUUUUGAAAUGAAUUAUUAAAGAGGAAAUUGUGAUUUAGUCUUGCUUCUUAAGAAAGGCAUUGUAUCUCUUUCAGGAGGAAGUUACUUAGAUGAGACUUAUGUUUUAAAGUUGUUUUUAAAUGUGGCAAGGGCAAUGCCUUUGAAUUUGACUUGAGGGUUUCAAUUAGAGGAGUUUCAAUGAUUUUGAAAGAACCCGGAUGUCUAUUGACAAGUUUCAUUUUGAAAUAUUUUGAGAAAUGUUUUAAGUACUCCUUAAAUUCUGAAUUCUUGCAAGACUAAAACAAUUUUAAACAGUUGAAACGUUUUAGAAUUUAUCAUGGGGGUUGAAGUUGGUUUUGCCUAAGUAAAGGAAACGGCUUUGAAAGAAGUAAAUGAUUACGUGACUCGGUUUGGCUUAGAUCCUAUUUUAUUACUCAAAUCGGAAAGCCAAGGUUUUAAUGAUUUUAUAUGA